GGUCAUUGUUACCAAGCUUGGUCCAGCAAAAUUCUAUUUCAAGAAGAUGUACACAGGGCAAAACUUAUAUUUACUGAAAGUGCUGACACAACCCAGUGUCUGCAUCUAAUAUAGACUUGUGCACAAAUCCUGUGCUGAACGAAUCAAAUCGUUAAUCACUGUCUGUAAGAACUAAUCGAUUGUUCGUGUUAUGCCGACCCUAUUAAUUAGUUCUCUGUGAUCAAACAAACAAUAUAUUUGACCAAAAUAGGAAAGCGCUUAGAUACAUAAGGUGUGUGUGUGUGUGUGUGUAUAAAAGUGUAUACCUCAAAAAUCAAUCAUACUUUUUUUUGUGUGUAUAAAAUUCUGCAGCACGUCACCAACAUGUGACAUAUAGUGACCAAGAAAAAUCAGAAAUAAACAGCGGUGUGCCAGAAAUAGUACUUAACAAACCGUCUCCUCAAAAUCAGUCCUGUAAAUAGUUAUAAAGAUACAUAUCAGUGCAGAACAUCCAAUCUUAAAUAUUAAUAAAAUGGUAAAAAUAAUUUACAUCUGGUUUUCACACUCAC